AAGAAGCUUAGAUGAUUUCUAUAAGAGGGGAUCAGGCAUGAUACUCAUCUUUUUUAAAGUCAUCUUUAUGAGAGUUAUAGAAAGGGAUCUCCAAUAUAGAGAUGGGUUCCAAAGAGAAAGACAGACAUGGCCUUUAAGAAAAAAGCGGUAUUUUUAUGAGUUUUGAAUUGGUUAAAGUUUCACUUUUAUAGAGAGAAAGUCUCUCGGUUGCCCUCGAAGUUAUCUUUCCAGUAGCAGUAAUGUGGUGGGAAAGAUGAUGUUGAUCGACAGUGUUGUUUGGCCGAAAGAGCGGGUUUAGAAGAAAAUAUUGAUGACGGUCUUUUACAGAUGUUUAAGAACAUAUAUUAUCUCUUGUAACCCAAAACUGUAAUCUUUAUUGUAAUAAUGGAUUUCUAGUGGUCGAGGCCCUGGAUGUAGGCGUACAG
rnacentral:lncRNA from 1 species